UACAGAGGGGGCAAGCGUUGUUCGGAAUUACUGGGCGUAAAGGGCGCGUAGGCGGCCUGCUAAGUCGAACGUGAAAUCCCCGGGCUCAACCCGGGAACUGCGUCCGAUACUGGUAGGCUUGAAUUCGGGAGAGGGAUGCGGAAUUCCAGGUGUAGCGGUGAAAUGCGUAGAUAUCUGGAGGAACACCGGUGGCGAAGGCGGCAUCCUGGACCGACAUUGACGCUGAGGCGCGAAAGCCAGGGGAGCAAACGGG
rnacentral:rRNA from 1 species